CGUACACUCCUGCGGGAGGCAGCAGUGGGGAAUAUUGGACAAUGGGCGCAAGCCUGAUCCAGCCAUGCCGCGUGAGUGAUGAAGGCCCUAGGGUUGUAAAGCUCUUUCACCGGUGAAGAUAAUGACGGUAACCGGAGAAGAAGCCCCGGCUAACUUCGUGCCAGCAGCCGCGGUAAUACGAAGGGGGCUAGCGUUGUUCGGAUUUACUGGGCGUAAAGCGCACGUAGGCGGACUAUUAAGUCAGGGGUGAAAUCCCGGGGCUCAACCCCGGAACUGCCUUUGAUACUGGUAGUCUUGAGUUCGAGAGAGGUGAGUGGAAUUCCGAGUGUAGAGGUGAAAUUCGUAGAUAUUCGGAGGAACACCAGUGGCGAAGGCGGCUCACUGGCUCGAUACUGACGCUGAGGUGCGAAAGCGUGGGGAGCAAACAGGAUUAGAAACCCUGGUAGUCCCA
rnacentral:rRNA from 1 species